CUGGUGAUUUCAGGAACCGGCUAGUUCUUU
rnacentral:piRNA from 1 species